ensembl:lncRNA
CCAGGAGGUUAGGGUUAGACUAGUGUCCUGUCCAGGGCUAAGGGUUAGACUAGUGUCCUGUCCACGGGGUUAGGGUUAGACUAGUGUCCUGUCCAGGGGGUUAGGGUUAGACUAGUGUCCUGUCCAGGGGCUUAGGGUUAGACUAGUGUCCUGUCCAGGAGGUUAGGUUUAGACUAGUGUCCUGUCCAGGGGUUAGGGUUAGACUAGUGUCCUGUCCAGGAGGUUAGGGUUAGACUAGUGUCCUGUCCAGGAGGUUAUGGUUAGACUAGUGUCCUGUCCAAGGGUUUAGGGGUUAGACUCGUGUCCUGUCCAGGGGGAUAGACUAGUGUCCUGUCCAGGGG